UUACUAGAGUAGCACUCGCAUAUCAAUAAGCGGAGGAAAAGAAACUAACAAGGAUUCCCCUAGUAACGGCGAGUGAAGCGGGAAGAGCUCAAAUUUGAAAUCUUAAAGGGUUUCCCUUUACGAAUUGUAGUUUAAAGAAGUGUUUUCUGUUGAGGUUUUGGUAAAAGUUCUUUGGAAUAGGACAUCAUAGAGGGUGAGGAAUCCCGUAUUUGACCUUUACUUUCAACUUUGUGAUACACUUUCAAAGAGUCGGAUUGUUUGGGAAUGCAGUCCAAAAUGGGUGGUAAAUUUCAUCUAAAGCUAAAUAUUGGCGAGAGACCGAUAGCGAACAAGUACCGUGAGGGAAAGAUGAAAAGAACUUUGAAAAGAGAGUUAAACAGUACGUGAAAUUGUCAAAAGGGAAGCGUUUGACACCAGUGUUGUUUUUCUGAAAAUCAAUUAAAGAACUGUUUAUGCUAAGCUGUUUAGACUUUAUCAGCUAUCUGUUUAGUUUUGAGCUUUUCUUUAAUGCACUUUUCAGUUAACAAGUCAACAUCAAUUUCUUUUGCUGUAGAAAAGCUUGAGGAAGGUGGCUUGAGAUUCGUCUUAAGUGUUUAUAGCCUCUUGCCUAUGCAGUCGGAGAGAUUGAGGUCUGCAGCGUAGAUCCUUCGGGGCUAAAUGCAUUUGUGCUAAGUUAUAGCAUUUUAUAGACAACUUGUUGACUAUGAUUUGUCUUGUAGCUUACUCGCUUAUGUUAUUUUACCUACGCUUAGGAUGUUGAGCGCAUGUCUCUCUCU
rnacentral:rRNA from 1 species